rnacentral:tRNA from 1 species
GGUGGUCUUGGUGUAGUGACAGCACAUCGCGCUGUGAACGCGAAGGUCUCGGUUUGAUUCCGACGAUCACCC